rnacentral:rRNA from 2 species
AAAUUGAAGAGUUUGAUCAUGGCUCAGAUUGAACGCUGGCGGCAGGCCUAACACAUGCAAGUCGAACGGUAACAGGAAACAGCUUGCUGUUUCGCUGACGAGUGGCGGACGGGUGAGUAAUGUCUGGGAAACUGCCUGAUGGAGGGGGAUAACUACUGGAAACGGUAGCUAAUACCGCAUAACGUCGCAAGACCAAAGAGGGGGACCUUAGGGCCUCUUGCCAUCGGAUGUGCCCAGAUGGGAUUAGCUAGUA